ensembl:lncRNA
UAUCAGUCAGAAACCUGAUGGGAAAUGUUUUGCCUCUAUUGAACAUGUGGAUAAUUCCCCCCCCCCCCCCCCCCCCCCAGCUGUUGAACUUGGUGCCUCCUUAUCAAACAUUUGCACAUCACCAGCCAGUGGUUUUCCCCAGUCCUUUUCCCCAGGGAGUUUUGCAGUGACACUUCCUGGCUGGGGCCAUCUCGGUGCUGAGGGGAAGAGCCCCUCUUGGGUGGCAGAUUGUCCUGAGCACCCCAGUGAUAUCACAGCUGCCCCCUUGUAUUCUACAGCCUGCAGGAUGCUGGUGUUUGGCAUUUGGCUCCAGCAGCCCUGAUGCUCAGUGUGAGGGAAUGGCCAGAAUGAGCAUUUCUACCAUGAAACAUUGCCAAAAGGCUUGUAGUGGAGGAAUUAUUCUGGUCAAUCCCCCUUAGAAAAUAGCUCCUGAGCUUGUAACAGCAGCUUCUCUAAGGGGCUGCUGGUACCGACGGUUUGCCAUCACACCCUCAGUGUUUGCAGGGCUGCAAAGCUCAAUGAUUGUAAAAUCUCAGGGCAAGAGCUGGGGGUGCUUCUAUCCAGCAUCUCAAACACACCCAUUAAAUUAUUAAUAGUAAUAAUUUGUGCAGAUCCCUGUGGAAUCUGCAGUGAACCAAGUGCAGCUCUCCUGAGGAGCAGAACCCAUUACACAAAAUGUAUUCACGCUUGCCAAGGGGAUGCUUAAAAAUAAAUCUGGCUGGAGAUGAAUAGAUGUUUUGUUGUAAAUCCACAGCUACGUUGGAGAGGUCAGGGCUCAGAUCAAGGACUGGAUCCAGCAAGCUCCUCAGGAGCCCUGUGGAUCUCUGCUCACUCGGCAGAGAAAGGUAUCACGUACUUACUCCUGAUACUACAGUGCUAUUGCCUGUACUAACUCUCAGUCUUCCUUGCCCUGAUGGAACUUGUGUAGAAGUCAGCAGGACAGCACAGAAAUACCUUAGUCCACCUUGAUUGCUUCUUAGACUAUCAUUUCAAGACAGGCUGUAAUAACUGAGCCACCAGAAAUAGUUUGGUUUUCAUUUGAAAGUACCUGGCUUUCAGUUUCUGCAGCCUCUUCCUCUCCCUGCAGUGAGCUGUAUCGGUGCUAUUUAGGACUGAAGAGGAAGAAUCAUCUCAAGCAAAGACGGGGGUACGUUUAUUGCAGCCCCCGGCACCGCAGCGAGGUGCUCCUGUGGGGAUGCCGAUGCACAGAUCGAGGCGCAGCGUUCCUCCCUUCCAUCCGCAGCGUGCCAGACCUCUUCAAUACCGCCAGCCCAGGACCAGCCGGGUUUAACCUCCCGAAGAUCCCUUCUCCCACCGCCAGCUCUGCCUCCCAGGUAAACCCAGCGCCGGGGCGGGGAGCGCUGCUCUCAACCCCACAGCCGCGGGGAGACCCGAGUCCCCUCCACCCCCUGGCUACCGGAGAACCGGGGCCGCUCCUACGCGUGCUCCCCCCGCCGUGGGCAGCGGCUCCUGCGCGUCCCGCGCAGCGCGGAGCCUUCUCCCUUAAAAACAGCCCCGCGCAGGGGAGGGGCUCCGCGCUCCCCCCGCCGCCGUUUCCGGUUCGCUGCCAUAUUCCUCUUUAUUUUCUCCCCUCCCCUGC